rnacentral:rRNA from 1 species
GACAGAGGGUGCGAACGUUGUUCGGAAUUACUGGGCGUAAAGCGCAUGUAGGCGGCAGCGCAAGUCGGGCGUGAAAUCCCACGGCUCAACCGUGGAAGUGCACUCGAAACUGCGCAGCUAGAGUCCUGGAGAGGAAGGUGGAAUGCUUGGUGUAGAGGUGAAGUUCGUAGAUAUCAAGCGGAACACCGGUGGCGAAGGCGGCCUUCUGGACAGUGACUGACGCUGAGGAGCGAAAGCGUGGGUAGCAAACAGG